CUCCCAUCAUACCCCCUACCUGGGGUAGUGCAGAGAGCCUAUUCUUCUUAUUCUGCUCUUGCUUUGUAUCUGUGCAGCUGUGUUCUUCAUCAAAUAUCAUCAUGUUGACAGAGAUACUCUACUGAGUAGAGUAACCCAGACACACUGUAUGGAAGUAUACAGUUUGUGCGAGAUGAGCGAGUUGUUACUAUAUGGACUGGAAUAUGUAACAUCAGCUUCCCAUCCUGCAACCAGUGAUGCAUGAGACUCUCAGUGUGGUACAAGGUGCAUGCUGUUCACACGUGGGGAAAUUCAAACAGAAAGCUGCAGAUGGUUCCUGAGGACACAAACACAACCUGAGGAGUAGGCAUGAAGAGGUUAGUUUUUGUUUGCCUUUAGAAAACUUUGCAACCAUGUUGAUCAUUGGAGAAUUAUGUGAAUUAUUUGAAAUGACUGGUAGUAAAAAUCUAGAAAAAAGGCUCUCAAUUAUGUCUGUGAGUUAUAAACUGUAAUGCCACUCAUUAGCUACCUUCUGUGAUGGUGAAGGGACUUGAAUAAAAGUACUGAGA
rnacentral:lncRNA from 1 species